UUUCGCAAUGCCCGAAAGGGUGACGAAGCGACACCGCGUGGGUGAGGAAGGCCUUCGGGUUGUAAAGCCCUGUCAGGAGUUAAGAAAUGUAGAUUCGCUAAUAUCGUAUCUAUUUGACGAAGGCUCCAAAGGAAGCCACGGCUAACUCUGUGCCAGCAGCCGCGGUAAUACAGAGGUGGCAAGCGUUGUUCGGAAUUAUUGGGCGUAAAGAGCGCGUAGGUGGAUUUGUAAGUCAGAUGUGAAAGCCUUCUGUUCAACGGAAGAAUUGCAUCUGAGACUACAGACCUUGAGUAUAGGAGGGGAGAAUGGAACUUCUGGUGGAGCGGUGAAAUGCGUAGAUAUCAGAAGGAACGCCGGCGGCGAAAGCGAUUCUCUGGCCUAUUACUGACACUCAGUGCGCGAAAGCUAGGGGAGCAAACGGGAUUAGAUACCCCGGUAGUCCUAGCCGUAAACGAUGGGCACUAAGUAGAGGGGUUUU
rnacentral:rRNA from 1 species